rnacentral:rRNA from 1 species
GGGGAUCAGGGUUCGAUUCCGGAGCAGGGAGCCUGAGAAACGGCUACCACAUCCAAGGAAGGCAGCAGGCGCGCAAAUUACCCACUCCCGGCACGGGGAGGUAGUGACGAUAAAUAACGAUACGGGACUCAUCCGAGGCCCCGUAAUCGGAAUGAGUAUACUCUAAAUUCUUAUACGAGUAUCAAUUGGAGGGCAAGUCUGGUGCCAGCAGCCGCGGUAAUUCCAGCUCCAAAAGCGUAUAUUAAAGUUGUUGCGGUUAAAAAGCUCGUAGUUGGAUCUGUGUCCCGCACCGUCGGUUCACCGCCUGUCGGUGUCUAACUGGCGUGUAUGCAGGACGUCCGGCCGGUGGCUUUCCGGUUCCCGUCGGGCACGUAGGGUUGCCGGCGCGGCAUAUUAUGCCGUGUCCGUGCGCCCGAAGUCCCGUGCGGUGCAUCUGGAGGCCUUUCAAUCCCGUCGCGGUGCUCUUCACCGAGUGUCGAGGCGGGCCGGCACGUUUACUUUGAACAAAUUAGAGUGCUUUAAGCAGGCGCAGCAGCCUGUAUGUUGUGUGCAUGGAAUAAUGGAAUAGGACCUCGGUUCUAUUUUGUUGGUUUUACGAACCUGAGGUAAUGAUCAAUGGGGGCAGGCGGGGGCAUUCGUAUUGCGACGUUAGAGGUGAAAUUCUUGGAUCGUCGCAAGACGGACCGAAGCGAAAGCAUUUGCCAAGUAUGUUCCCGUCGAUCAAGAACGAAAGUUAGAGGUUCGAAGGCGAUCAGAUACCGCCCUAGUUCUAACCAUAAACUAUGCCUGCCAGCGAUCCGCCGAAGUUCCUCCUAUGACUCGGCGGGCAGCUUCCGGGAAACCAGAGCUUUUGGGUUCCGGGGGAAGUAUGGUUGCAAAGCUGAAACUUAAAGGAAUUCGACGGAAGGGCACCACCAGGAGUGGAGCCUGCGGCUUAAUUUGACUCAACACGGGGAAAACUCACCAGGCCCGGACACCGGAAGGAUUGACAGAAUUGAAAGCUCUUUCUUGAAUCGGUGGAUGGUGGUGCAUGGCCGUCUAUCGUUGGUGGAACGAUUUGUCUGGUUAAUUCCGAUAACGAACGAGACUCUAGCCUACUAAAUAGUCGUACCCGGUAUCAUCAAUCGUGCUACCGGCGAUCUAUGUCUUCUUAGAGGGACAGGCGGCUUCUAGCCGCACGAGACUGAGCAAUAACAGGUCUGUGAUGCCCUUAGAUGUCCUGGGCCGCACGCGCGCUACACUGAAGGAAUCAGCGUGUCUCCCCUGUCCGAAAGGACCGGGUAACCCGCUGAACCUCCUUUGUGCUAGGGAUUGGGGCUUGCAAUUGUUCCCCAUGAACGAGGAAUUCCCAGUAAGCGCGAGUCAUAAGCUCGCGUGAUUACGUCCCUGCCCUUUGUACACACCU